rnacentral:rRNA from 1 species
UGGAGGAAAGCAGGGGAUCGAAAGACCUUGCGCUAAAGGAGCGGCUGAUGUCUGAUUAGCUAGUUGGUGGGGUAAAGGCCUACCAAGGCAACGAUCAGUAGCUGGUCUGAGAGGACGAUCAGCCACACUGGGACUGAGACACGGCCCAGACUCCUACGGGAGGCAGCAGUGGGGAAUUUUGGACAAUGGGCGAAAGCCUGAUCCAGCCAUGCCGCGUGAGUGAAGAAGGCCUUCGGGUUGUAAAGCUCUUUUAGUCGGAAAGAAAGAGUUGCAAUGAAUAAUUGUGAUUUAUGACGGUACCGACAGAAAAAGCACCGGCUAACUACGUGCCAGCAGCCGCGGUAAUACGUAGGGUGCGAGCGUUAAUCGGAAUUACUGGGCGUAAAGGGUGCGCAGGCGGUUUUGCAAGUCAGAUGUGAAAGCCCCGGGCUUAACCUGGGAAUCGCGUUUGAAACUACAAGGCUAGA